rnacentral:rRNA from 1 species
AUUAAUUUUUAUGAACCCCUAAUUUAUAAUGAAUGACUCCAUAUUUAUAUGGAAGACACCAUGCUAGGAUUAGUAACAAGAAUUUAUAAUUCUCCAAAAUGCAAAUAUAAACCAACAUGGAUAGACCAUUGGUAGUUACCGAACCUAAAUUUAAUGCAAUAACAUCCACAAGAAAACUCUGCAGCACUCACUCGUUAACCUAACACCAGCGCAUUACAGGAAAGAUUCAAAAAAAGAGAAGGAAUUCGGCAAAUGACGACCCCGCCUGUUUACCAAAAACAUCGCCUCUUGACUUAUAAUAAGAGGUCUAGCCUGCCCAGUGAAUUUUAAACGGCCGCGGUAUCCUAACCGCGCGAAGGUAGCAUAAUCACUUGUUCUUUAAAUGGGGACUCGUAUCAACGGCAUCACGAGGGUCUUACUGUCUCCUCUUUUUGAUCAGUGAAAUUGAUCUUCCCGUGAAGAAGCGGGAAUAUUUUUAUAAGACGAGAAGACCCCAUGGAGCUUUAAACCAAAUAACAACUUAACCACUUAUCCCAUAAUAAAUUUAACCCCUGUUAUAAGGUUUUUGGUUGGGGUGACCGCGGAGUAAAGCACAUCCUCCACGACGGAAAGAAUAAAAUCUUUAUUUAAGAACCACACUUCUAGAAAUUAGUAUACUAACGUUUACUGACCCGACAAUCGAUCAACGGACCAAGUUACCCUGGGGAUAACAGCGCAAUCUACUUCGAGAGCUCAUAUCGACAAGUAGGCUUACGACCUCGAUGUUGGAUCAGGGUAUCCCGG